rnacentral:sRNA from 1 species
GGAUGUGAAGAUGAUCUGGCAGCAUCAUCUCCCCACUGAUUGCCAAGGUGGAUUUUGCUGAUCUGGCUAACUAGGCAGGUGUCCCCUUCCACCAUCUCCAUAUUCUCCCUCUGGAGGCUGAGGGUUAAAAGAGGAACCAGUAGACACAGAACUUUUUUCAGUCAUGCUAUGUACAGACUCAAAAAGAAGCUCCCCGAACCACUGCAUAUCCGAAAGCCCUGGUAAAGCCGCUUUC